rnacentral:rRNA from 1 species
CCUACGGGGGGCAGCAGUGAGGAAUAUUGGUCAAUGGACGAGAGUCUGAACCAGCCAAGUAGCGUGAAGGAUGACUGCCCUAUGGGUUGUAAACUGCUUUUAUAAAGGAAUAAAACGAGGCACGUGUGCGUUUUUGCAUGUACCUUAUGAAUAAGGACCGGCUAACUCCGUGCCAGCAGCCGCGGUAAUACGGAGGGUCCGGGCGUUAUCCGGAUUUAUUGGGGUUAAAGGGAGCGUAGAUGGGUUGUUAAGUCAGAUGUGAAAGGUUGCGGCUCAACCGUAAAAUUGCAAUUGAUACUGGCAGUCUUGAGUACAGUUGAGGCAGGCGGAAUUCGUGGUGUAGCGGUGAAAUGCUUAGAUAUCACGAAGAACCCCGAUUGCGAAGGCAGCUUACUAAACUGUGACUGACAUUGAUGCUCGAAAGUGUGGGUAUCAAACAGGAUUAGAUACCCCUGUAGUC